GAUGAACGCUGGCGGCGUGCUUAACACAUGCAAGUCGAACGAAGCACCUCUCCCGAAGAUUGACACAGCUUGCUGUAGAUUGAUUCAUUUGAGGUGACUGAGUGGCGGACGGGUGAGUAACGCGUGGGUAACCUGCCUCAUAGAGGGGGACAACAGUUGGAAACGACUGCUAAUACCGCAUAGUAAGAAGAAUUCGCAUGUUUUCUUCUUGAAAGAUUUAUCGCUAUGAGAUGGACCCGCGUCUGAUUAGCUAGUUGGUAAGGUAACGGCUUACCAAGGCGACGAUCAGUAGCCGGCUUGAGAGAGUGAACGGCCACAUUGGGACUGAGACACGGCCCAAACUCCUACGGGAGGCAGCAGUGGGGAAUAGUGCACAAUGGGGGAAACCCUGAUGCAGCGACGCCGCGUGAGUGAAGAAGUAUUUCGGUAUGUAAAGCUCUAUCAGCAGGGAAGAUAAUGACGGUACCUGACUAAGAAGCCCCGGCUAACUACGUG
rnacentral:rRNA from 1 species